AGUAAAAGAAUAAUAAAGAAAGAAAGAAAGAAAGAAAGAAGAAAAAAAAAAGAAGAAAAGCGAUGAUAAGGGAAAGAACAAAACACGUUGUUACACACACACACACAUACACACACGAUUAGUAAGAAUUUGGUUGGUGGAAACGUUGGUGAGUAAGUCUCUUUGUUUGGUGUCUGUGAUGUUGCAGCGGCUCCCAGCGGUGCUCAGCAGGAUAGGGAUAAUAUUGGCCAGCCCCUUGGAUGGAUCGUUGUUUAACAUCGAAAAGAUAUCGUAAGAAUAUAAGUUUCUUCUACGGAGACCCUGUCGCAGGGUAAAAAGAAGCGAGAGGGCGGUCCACCGACCGGAGCUACGACAGGGCCGAACGAGAUCGUGACCUGCACCAAUUGUGGGCCCAACCCUUGCACGCACACAACCACCAAUGGAUGCACGGCUGAGCUGAGAAAAAAGGAACCGCCGCAUCCUAUAAGAGUGGCGAAGACGAUCGACGUGAUAGCAAGAAUCACCUUCCCGAUCGCCUACUUCAUGUUCCUCACCUUUUUCUUCAUCCACUACAAAGGCACUUCGUAGACCGACACCGGAGGAGGCAAACGGGAUAUUCACACCGUUCAUCAUCGAGCCACGUGUUUCACGACGUGCGGCGACGAUUUUUUUUUUUUUAUCUCGAUUCAAUCAAUUACAUUGGAGGGGAGGGCAGCAAGUCCGAAGGACUUUGAACGAGGUUGAGUUGUUAGUCGGCGGCGUGGAGGAGGGAGGGGGAGGUGAAGGGAAGUGUUCUUGUCUCCGCUCGAAAAAAAGGGAAAGAGAGAAAAAAAGGUUCCAAAAAAAUCGAAAGCAAAGUUAACGUCGCGUCGAUAUCGUUCUGGAUGACUGGUUUCGUUCGAAGAAAAAGAUAGAAUACGAGAAAGAUCGGCUUAUCAAAGAGCGAAGGAUCUGUAUUAACUGUCUUUUCUUUGACUUGGAAGGAAGAGGAAAAAAGAAAGAAAGAAAGAAAGAAAGAAAAAAAACGAAGAGCACUCGAAGAAGAAAACACUCGAAUUGUUGGGGACACUCGCCUCUUCCUCAUCUUUUUCUCACAUGUGAUAAUUCUUCUUAAAAGCACUCUCUUUAUCGAA